rnacentral:rRNA from 1 species
GAUGAACGCUGGCGGCGUGCCUAAUACAUGCAAGUCGAGCGAACAGAUGAGGAGCUUGCUCCUCUGACGUUAGCGGCGGGCGGGUGAGUAACACGUGGAUAACCUACCUAUAAGACUGGGAUAACUUCGGGAAACCGGAGCUAAUACCGGAUAAUAUAUUGAACCGCAUGGUUCAAUAGUGAAAGACGGUUUUGCUGUCACUUAUAGAUGGAUCCGCGCCGCAUUAGCUAGUUGGUAAGGUAACGGCUUACCAAGGCAACGAUGCGUAGCCGACCUGAGAGGGUGAUCGGCCACACUGGAACUGAGACACGGUCCAGACUCCUACGGGAGGCAGCAGUAGGGAAUCUUCCGCAAUGGGCGAAAGCCUGACGGAGCAACGCCGCGUGAGUGAUGAAGGUCUUCGGAUCGUAAAACUCUGUUAUUGGGGAAGAACAAAUGUGUAAGUAACUAUGCACGUCUUGACGGUACCUAAUCAGAAAGCCACGGCUAACUACGUG